rnacentral:rRNA from 1 species
AUGCUGUCUCCGUGCUGCAUAUUCCCCACCCGACCCCCGAGACCCGAUUCUUCCAGGCCAGGCCGGGCGUUGCAACGAACAAACAAACGCUGCUUUCAGAAGAAGGGUUCUUCCUUCUCCACUCCUUGUAUUCCGUCACACGAGUCCGACGGCGACGACGACUUGAGGGAGAAGGCGAAGAGGAAGGAAGGCGGACUCGAGAGGUUCGACGGGGAUUUUGGUGUUCGUCCGGCGGAUUCCCAGCGAUCGGCCGAUCCUCGCCGGCGGAUGGGGCAGGCGUUCCGCAAACUGUUCGAUGCCUUCUUCGGCAACAGCGAGAUGAGGGUCGUGAUGCUUGGGCUGGAUGCCGCGGGCAAGACCACCAUCCUGUACAAGCUGCACAUCGGGGAGGUCCUCUCGACUGUCCCUACGAUUGGGUUCAAUGUUGAGAAAGUUCAGUACAAGAACGUGCUGUUUACAGUGUGGGAUGUUGGUGGCCAGGAGAAGUUGAGGCCCUUGUGGAGACAUUACUUUAAUAACACAGAUGGCUUGAUCUACGUGGUUGAUUCAUUGGAUAGGGAGAGAAUUGGAAAAGCCAAAGCAGAGUUUCAGACAAUAAUCAACGAUCCUUUCAUGCUUAACAGUGUCAUAUUGGUAUUUGCCAAUAAACAAGAUAUGAAAGGGGCGAUGACACCAAUGGAGGUGUGCGAAGGCCUUGGCCUCUAUGAUUUGAAGAACCGCGUCUGGCACAUCCAAGUAUGA